rnacentral:rRNA from 1 species
UACGAAGGGGGCUAGCGUUGUUCGGAUUACUGGGCGUAAAGCGCACGUAGGCGGAUUGGUCAGUUAGGGGUGAAAUCCUGGAGCUCAACUCCAGAACUGCCUUUAAUACUGCCAGUCUCGAGUCCGGAAGAGGUAAGUGGAACUCCUAGUGUAGAGGUGGAAUUCGUAGAUAUUCGGCGGAACACCGGUGGCGAAGGCGGCUCACUGGCCCGGUACUACGUGACGCUGAGGUGCGAAAGCGUGGGGAGC